UGGCCAUAGGAACUCCCUAAUAAAACGACAUAGCCCCAUCGACUUUGGGUUCGUUUGAUUCAUCUUGAUGAGUACUUGCAACUUCCCAGUAAUGAAA